rnacentral:rRNA from 1 species
CGUAACGCGUGGGAAUCUGCCUUUAGGUUCGGAAUAACUCCUCGAAAGGGGUGCUAAUACCGGAUGAUGUCUUCGGACCAAAGAUUUAUCGCCUUUAGAUGGGCCCGCGUUGGAUUAGCUUGUUGGUGGGGUAAAGGCCUACCAAGGCGACGAUCCAUAGCUGGUCUGAGAGGAUGAUCAGCCACACUGGGACUGAGACACGGCCCAGACUCCUACGGGAGGCAGCAGUGGGGAAUAUUGGACAAUGGGCGCAAAGCCUGAUCCAGCAAUGCCGCGUGAGUGAUGAAGCCUUAGGGUUGUAA